rnacentral:misc_RNA from 1 species
AAAUGGUGACACCCAUCUUGGAGGGGAGGACUUCGAUCAGAGGAUCAUGGAAUACUUUAUCAAGUUGAUUAAGAAGAAACACGGCAAGGAUAUCAGCAAGGACAACCGCGCUCUUGGGAAGCUGAGGAGGGAGUGCGAGCGGGCCAAGAGAGCUCUGAGCAACCAGCACCAAGUCCGCGUUGAGAUUGAAUCUCUCUACGAGGGCCUGGACUUCUCUGAGCCGUUGACCCGUGCCCGUUUUGAAGAAUUGAACAAUGACUUGUUCAGGAAGACCAUGGGUCCUGUCAAGAAGGCUAUGGAUGAUGCUGGUCUACAGAAGACCCAGAUUGACGAGAUUGUCCUCGUAGGAGGUAGCACUAGAAUCCCCAAGGUUCAGCAACUUCUGAAGGAUUACUUCGAUGGAAAGGAACCUAACAAGGGAGUGAACCCAGACGAGGCUGUUGCUUAUGGUGCAGCUGUACAGGGAAGUAUUCUGAGCGGCGAGGGCGGUGAAGAAACUAAAGAUAUCCUCCUCUUGGAUGUGGCACCCCUUACUAUGGGUAUUGAGACUGUCGGUGGAGUGAUGACCAAGUUGAUU